UCCCUAAGCCAACAUCGUAAAGUAUGGGGCCCUAAAGUUCAGAGAAGAUGGCUAGCCAGGAAAAAAAACUUACCAGCAGCACAUUCACAGCAGGGAAAGGAUUUACACCCAGUCCUCUCUACAUUUCAGGACAUACAAACAUUUUUUUUCUGUAUGAACACACUGCAGACCAGCAGAGCUGCUGGCAAUUACUGGCAUCAUUAUUGAUAUCAAAUCCAUUUUGCCUUGGGAAGAAGAAUGGGGGGAGAUCCUGUCAAGGCUGAAUAAUCUCUGGACAUGAUGGACCAAAAGCCAUGGCCUUUUGGUGUCUAUGAACAGGGUUGGCCCUUGGCCCAAAAGAGGUUCCCCAUCCCUGCAGAAUUUGACAGAUCCUUCCAUCCCUACCCACAAGAUAAUGAGCAAAGGGAGAGGCAAAGAUACUGUGUCCAGCUGUAACUAUGAAUCCGUGUAGGCAUUUCUUCAUCCAGUCAUGCAAUGGACCAAAGAAAAAGACAGUAAUAGGGAGAUGGACAAGGGGGGAUGUAAGUAGCUCCUAUCAAGAUGGAGUAAUCCCUGAACGUGAUAGACCAAGACAUGCAGCCAUUGGAUGUCAAAAGAUUAUCAUAACUGCAACAGCAGGCUCUCUCUGUUAAAGAAAGACAGAGGAUGAAGCUGAACUGAUGCCUGGCGAGGAUGGAGGAGCCUGCUGGGGUAAAAGAAGACAUUGCCCCAGGUCUGCUUAUCAGCUCUUGAUGGCGGCGAUACUGACUGCGUUUGAAAUGGCUCCCGGACAUC